GAUGAACGCUGGCGGCGUGCCUAAUACAUGCAAGUCGAGCGAACAGAUCAUGAGCUUGCUCCGCUGACGUUAGCGGCGGACGUGUGAGUAACACGUGUAUCCCGUACCUAUAAGAGUGGUAUCUCUUCGGAACACCGGAGAUAAUACCGUAGAAGAUAUUGAACCGCAUGGGUCAAUAGUGAAAUACGGUGUUGGUGUCAGUUAUCGCUGGAUCCGCGCCUGAUUAGCUAGUUGUGACGGUAACAGCUUAUCAAGGCAACGCUGCGUAUCCGACCUGAGGGGGUGAUAGGCCACCCUGGAGCUGAGACACGGUCCAGACUCCUACGGGAGGCACCAGUAGGGAAUGUUCCGCAACGGGCGAAAGCCUGACGGAGCAACGCCGCGUGAGUGAUGAAGGUCUUCGGAUCGUAAAACUCUGUUAUUAGGGAAGAACAAAUGUGUACGUAACUAUGCACGUCUUGACGGUACCUAAUCAGAAAGCCACGGCUAACUACGUG
rnacentral:rRNA from 1 species